rnacentral:rRNA from 1 species
UACGUAGGGGGCAAGCGUUGUCCGGAAUCAUUGGGCGUAAAGAGCGUGUAGGCGGUCCGGUCAGUCGGUUGUGAAAGUCAAGGGCUCAACCCUUGAAUGCCGGCCGAUACUGCCGGGCUAGAGUCCGGAAGAGGUGAGUGGAAUUCCUGGUGUAGCGGUGAAAUGCGCAGAUAUCAGGAGGAACACCAAUGGCGAAAGCAGCUCUCUGGGACGGUACUGACGCUGAGACGCGAAAGCGUGGGGAGCGAACAGG